AAAGCAGGACUUAGGGGAAAUGAGUUGACAGUACAAGGUCGAUAGAGUUGUUAAACACGUUGUGAGGUGUAGAAUUCCCGGCUGUGAACGCUCUAAGAGCGGAGUUACUAGUGAACAUUCUCGCGGGGUGUGCACACUCCGCUGACCAGACUCGCCCGCCGCCCGGCGCUCUCCAGUCCUCAGACCUGCGCACAGCCCGCGGCGCCCGCCCGUCACCCUUUGUCCAUCACAGCGCCUGUGCCCUCAGCGGGGCGACUGCGCGCCUCCUCCCUCCUCAGCCCUGCAGUCGCCUCCAGCCAGCCCUGGGGCGUCCACCUGUGCGCAUGUUCUGCCGUUCACACCCCUUCUCCACGGCUGCCCGAGCACCCAACUACCGCUUGCUGGAACCCAGAGGAAACCUCUCACUCCCGUCUCCGGUCCGUUUAGGCCUCCCGGUGAGCGACCAGAGUUUAUCUGUAACCUGUGGCUCUCACGACCGUGUGCUGACCUGAUGUUGAGCCCACGGCAGAGUCGUCUCACGCCGAGGUUCCCAGUCACUGCGAGUCAGCUCGAUGGCCUUUCUCUUCUCAACAUUUCUCGAAUUCUGUCACUCUCCCGCCGCCAGAGGCUUUAACCUUCUAGGAAAGCUGCCCCUCCAAAGUACAUCUUCACCUUCUAAUUUGACUGACUUGGUAAAUGUGUGCGUGUCUAGUUACUGGCCUUUCCUUCCGAGAUGACAAGAGGACAAGAGCCAGGUCUGCCCUCCACUAUAUCAGAUAUAUAGUAGGCUCACCUAGUUGUGGUAUUAAAAAUGUACUGAUGAAUAAAAUUACAAAGUGAAAAGAUUGAUUUAAAAUGUGUAUAAACCCGGGAAUGUAGCUCAACUGCACAGUGCCUGCCUGGCAAGCUCAAGGUCCUGAGUUCGAUUCCAGAUACCAAAAAAAUAAAGAUUAAAAAUAAGAAAAUAAAUAAGAUGUAUAUAAAACCUAAAGCAUUUCAAUCAUGUUGUCAUUUUAAAAAUCCCACAUUUCACAGCUGAAUUCAAGAUCAAUUUUAUAUGAAGAGCUCUAAUCUUUAAAUUUUUAAAAUUCAAAAUCUUUUGUUCAACCUUAUUA
rnacentral:lncRNA from 1 species